GAGACCGGGAGAGGUUAGAGGUACUCCCAGGGUAGAGGUGAAAUUCUGUAAUCCUGGGAGGACCGCCUGUUGCGAAGGCGUCUAACCGGAACGGUUCUGACGGUGAGGGACGAAAGUUAGGGGCGCGAACCGGAUUAGAUACCCGGGUAGUCCUAAACUGUAAACGAUGCGGACUUGGUGUUGGGUGGCUUUGAGCUGCUUCAGUGCCGAAGGGAAGCUGUUAAGUCCGCCGCCUGGGAAGUACGGUCGCAAGACUGAAACUUAAGGAAUUGGCGGGGGAGCACCACAACGCGUGGAGCCUGCCGGUUUAAUUGGAUUCAACGCCGGACAUCUCACCAGAGGCGACAGCUGUAUGAUAGCCAGGUUGAUGACUUUGCUUGACUAGCUGAGUAGAGGUGCAUGG
rnacentral:rRNA from 1 species